rnacentral:lncRNA from 1 species
UUGUCUUCUUCGAUAUAUCAAAUCAUAUCGAAGUGUAUCAACAUGGUGUUGACACAAAAGUCUAAACGAAGGACUAAAUGUUAGACAAAUUAAGUCUAAAUAUAAGUUAAUACUCUAUCAAUUUUAAAAUUAGAGAUGUACUUUUUUUUUUAAUUUAUUUUAAAAUUAGAUAUAUUUUUUUAUUUUAGUACUAAAAAAUAAUAUGAUAUUUUUAAUUUGUCAAUACAUUUUCACUAACAUUUUU